GAUCCUGGCUCAGGAUGAACGCUAGCUACAGGCUUAACACAUGCAAGUCGAGGGGCAGCAUGGUCUUAGCUUGCUAAGGCCGAUGGCGACCGGCGCACGGGUGAGUAACACGUAUCCAACCUGUCGUCUACUCUUGGACAGCCUUCUGAAAGGAAGAUUAAUACAAGAUGGCAUCAUGAGUCCGCAUGUUCACAUGAUUAAAGGUUUACCGGUGUAAGAUGGGGAGUG
rnacentral:rRNA from 1 species